GACGAACGCUGGCGGCGUGCUUAACACAUGCAAGUCGAACGGUAAGGCCCUUCGGGGUACACGAGUGGCGAACGGGUGAGUAAUACGUGGGUGAUCUGCCCUGCACUUCGGGAUAAGCCUGGGAAACUGGGUCUAAUACCGGAUAGGACUCCUGGCUUCAUGGUUGGGGGUGGAAAGCUUUUGCGGUGUGGGAUGGGCCCGCGGCCUAUCAGCUUGUUGGUGGGGUAAUGGCCUACCAAGGCGACGACGGGUAGCCGGCCUGCGAGGGUGACCGGUCACACUGGGACUGAGAUACGGCCCAGACUCCUACGGGAGGCAGCAGUGGGGAAUAUUGCACAAUGGGCGCAAGCCUGAUGCAGCGACGCCGCGUGAGGGAUGACGGCCUUCGGGUUGUAAACCUCUUUCAGCUAUGACGAAGCGCAAGUGACGGUAGUAGCAGAAGAAGGACCGGCCAACUACGUGCCAGCCGCGCCGUAA
rnacentral:rRNA from 1 species